GCAAGUCGAACGCGAAAGUUCCUUCGGGAGCGAGUAGAGUGGCGGACGGGUGAGUAACGCGUGGGAAUCUGCCUAGUAGUGGGGGAUAACAAUCGGAAACGGUUGCUAAUACCGCAUACGCCCUACGGGGGAAAGGCUUCGGCCGCUAUCAGAUGAGCCCGCGUCAGAUUAGCUUGUUGGUGGGGUAAAAGCCUACCAAGGCAACGAUCAGUAGCUGGUCUGAGAGGAUGAUC
rnacentral:rRNA from 1 species